GAAUUGAAACUCCAUUUCCUAGCAUCUGCAACUCUGUGAAGCCAUGUGACUAAAUUCCGGCUAAUGAGAGAACCCUCUAGGGCCAGGAGUACACAAAUACAAAACAUGGUCACCUUCAACAGCUUCUUCUCUGCUGAGGAAAACUUGAGAGGAAGGAGCAGAAAUUACUCUUAUGUCAGUAGACAGUGUUGAGCAUCCCAUGAUAAGUGCAGAUAAAGAAGUGUGGAUGACUUUUGGAGAUACAUGUAAGAAGAAGCAGUUGCUCCUGGCUUUGUCGGGGGAUGGAUUUCAAGAGUGCUUCGAGCUCCAGCGAAGUGUGUGAGUAAUGCAGAUGCUCUGAAGAGGAUUGAGUGGAAAACUGCACAUCCCUUCCAUUUGAUCUUGAGAUUACCUUCUGGAUUGCCAUUUCAAUUCAUGCAUGAACUAAAAUGCAGACAGUGUAUACCUAAAGACCUCUAAUCUGAUUUUUAUAUCUGAAACUUACUUUUCCCAUUGUAAAUAGACA